rnacentral:rRNA from 2 species
GAUCUUCUCCUUCAUGGGAGAUGAUUGAAAGAUGGUUUCGGCUAUCACUUACAGAUGGGCCCGCGGUGCAUUAGCUAGUUGGUGAGGUAACGGCUCACCAAGGCAACGAUGCAUAGCCGACCUGAGAGGGUGAUCGGCCACACUGGGACUGAGACACGGCCCAGACUCCUACGGGAGGCAGCAGUAGGGAAUCUUCCGCAAUGGACGAAAGUCUGACGGAGCAACGCCGCGUGAGUGAUGAAGGCUUUCGGGUCGUAAAACUCUGUUGUUAGGGAAGAACAAGUACAAGAGUAACUGCUUGUACCUUGACGGUACCUAACCAGAAAGCCACGGCUAACUACGUGCCAGCAGCCGCGGUAAUACGUAGGUGGCAAGCGUUAUCCGGAAUUAUUGGGCGUAAAGCGCGCGCAGGCGGUUUCUUAAGUCUGAUGUGAAAGCCCACGGCUCAACCGUGGAGGGUCAUUGGAAACUGGGGAACUUGAGUGCAGAAGAGAAAAGCGGAAUUCCACGUGUAGCGGUGAAAUGCGUAGAGAUGUGGAGGAACACCAGUGGCGAAAGGCGGCUUUUUGGUCUGUAACUGACGCU